CGCUUCUUAGAAAACAGGAUCCAGCCGAGCAAUGGCGUCUCUCCGGAGGCGCCGAAGAGGCAGCACCGCGAAAGAUGUCAUCCCUUUUCUGCUCCCUGUAGUGCUGUUUCCAGAGACCCACAAUCCUCCCCUCAGAUGAACAACUCUUCCCCAGCUUCAUAGGGCGUUUUGGCUCUCUCCCCCGCCAAAACAGUCCCGUCGCCCCAAUAUAAUUCAUGUCAUUGAACGUAGUUCAUAAUUUAAACUCGGUUCAAAAGGCUGGCAGAAAAGCUCCCCCCCCCCCCCCGACAGAGAUAUAGGAGAAAGCGCCUGAGGUAAGAAAGAUUUAGCUGCCACACUGACUGGAAGUCUCCCAAGUUCUCCACAGACCUCUACCUCAGAGCCGUGGUGAGGUGACAGGAAUCGUAAUCUGUGUGGAAGAAUAAACGGGCUUUCGUGACAGAUAACAGAUAUCAACACAAGUGACAUCUAUAAAACAUUGGAAGCUGCCACCCAAUGCUAUACCCACAUUGUCACGAUAUGGCUCUCAAAUGCCCUCUUUUGUCAGGCAGCCUGCCCAUCUCCACCCUGGCACACAGGGCUGGAUUUAGAGGAAGAGGCUACUCCACUUGUGAGGCCCCUCUCCAUCCCCCACCCUCACAACCAGAAGAAAAUGGAAGAGUAUUAUAAACAAAACUGAGUGAAGCCAAGGAUGAUGACGGGUAUUUAAAAUGCUACAAUUCACAAUUUCUCCUUUAAAGGACAUAAGAUAUUGUUAAAUACCAUGGUGAUUUUUAAAAAUGCAUAAAAUUAACACUGAAAAACUUAUGCAAUAACUGAACUUUGUAAACCUUUGAGGCCUGGGCAGGCCAGGUUGUCCUCUUAUAUACCUUCUGGGAUUUACAAGGCGUCUGACCCGCACCUGAAUCUCAUAGAUCUCCUGUAGCUGCUUCUGAUUAGUUAUCAUUUAACUCUUGGGGAAAAUAAUUAGCAUUACACAUCAUGUGCAUGGAAGUUGCCAAACCAAUUAACCAACUAGAAGGAUUACUGUUAAUAGCGCCAGGCUUCCUAUAACUUGAUAUUGCUGGAUAGUUUUGAUGAACUGCAAAAGCAUUUUUAGUUUGCUUUCUGUUGCCACCCUGGAACUUUUCCUUAUUAGUGCCACUUUGUUUUGUAUGAUUCCUUGCAAAUGAAGGAAAACAACUUUUCUGCUAGUAUAUGUUGCUAAUAUAGUUUUGGUUACUGAGGAGAAACAAGAUUGUACAAAAACAAGAUUGGAUGCAGGCCUGGCCAGGACAUAGGCAUCCUGACUGUUACAAAGGUGACCUGCAUGCUUGCUUGCUUGAUUAACAGCUGUUGGGAACUUCAAGGUCUCUGCUGUCCCUUCUUAUGGUCUUUGUACUGGACCUGGAGACUCCAAUAGAGAGCAUUCCAUGUCAAGAAGGAGGGCAAGUGGGCACUCUAUCAAAUGACAGGGCAGGAGUUACACGGAGCAGGGCCUUUUCACUGGUGGUGCCCAUUGUAAACCUUGCUCUUCCCAGACCUGCUCUCUUUUGGCCUGUAUUUUGGAGCUUUAUAAUUUAGGAAGACUCUGGAAGAACUGGUUGACAAGUCUUAUCAGUUGCUGACAUAUGAGCAGAUUUUAUUUGCUGCUAUUCUGUGCUUCUGGUGCACCAGGGUUUACACCAGCGUAAUAUAGUUGGCCAGGAUGCCAGAAAGAAUACAAUUUACAAGCUUUCUCUAUUAUCUGCACAGCAGGGGGUGUUCAGUCAACAGUGCAAAGGCUGAGCUGAAGCAUUCCCUGCUGGUUACCUGCUUUCAGCAAUAGGUAUUGCUGUUUGGUAGUACCCAAUUGGUUAGCUGUCAGAUUCUGGAGCUCCCUAUUGGUGGCUCUUAGGUAAUUCACAAAAUACAGAGUCCAUUCAUAAAACACAGUGUUCAUUCAUAAAGCAGUAACAUAAAUCUCCAUUGCUACAUAUUGGGUGUAUAUUUCAGCAGAUGAACGUACAAGUUUAAGGCCAUGGUGUAGUGUAGUGUUUAUGCGACUGUGAAUAAAAGGUGGCUGGGCUCAUUGUCCCAGGGUUUUGGGGGGAAGAGGUGACAAAACUGAUUUCCAAUAAGUCCCCCCCCCUUAUUUCCAGAACAAGUUCUUGAGUCUGUACUCUGAAUGGUGACACCAGGGACCUAGAAGGUGCAGGGCUUGUAAGUCCAACCCCUGCACAGUCUUAUCAGGGCUGACCUUAAGGCAACUGGAGCAAUUGGGCCAAAUUGGACCCCGUGGGCCGCAGACUUUGGCUGUGAACUAGGGCCCUACAAAAAUAAAUAAAUCAAGUUGUGCCCCACUGCUUCAAAUUGGGCUCCACUGGCUAGCCCUGAUUCUAAUAGUUGCUGGGCCUGAGUUGCCCUGUCCUUGCAUGAAGUCUUGGGUUUACAAUUUCGGGAGAGGGGAGACUGCGGCUCUGGGGAGCUGGCAGGCUGGCGAGGCCCCCUAGUUUUAGAGGCCCAAGUUGUCCUGCCCUCACAUGAAGUCUUGGGUUUUCAAUUUUGGGAGAGGGGAGACUGCAGCACUGGGGAGAGGGCAGGCUGGUGAGGCCCCCUAGAUUUAGAACCAAUUGUUCCAUUCCAUGACUGAGAAAAAUCCAACAAAACAGCUGUGUUGAUCUGUACCAAAAAAGCAUUCAUUGGCACCCUAGUGGCUGAUUGGUUUAUUAUGGCAUGACCUAUUGUAGAAAAUAGCUUAUGUCAACAGAUUCCUGUUGUGCUCUGAGAAAAUGUUGAAUUUAUAUGAACAAAGUUUCAAUGAACAAAGAAUUGGUCCCUUCUCAUUGACAGUCACCUUUACUUUACUUUACUUUUAAAUCCUUUAUUAGGCAUAGCACACCACACAAUAACAAACAAACAUCAUAUACAGACUGUAUAAAAUACGGGCUCAGCGAACACAAUUUAUCCCAGUCCUAUUCUUAACUCCAAGAAAUAAAUCGAUGUACAUAGAUAAUAUAAUACAACAACACAGCAACAUCACCUACCAUUAAAAACCACUAAGUCUCUUUAUCAUGGCCCAUUCUUUCUUCAUGGACAGCACUUAAAAAUUCAGCCACUAUUAUAGUGGUUUGAUCAUCGCUGUCCGCCAGCAGGUCCUGAACAGUUGGUGGAGUAAAAAUCUGUCUAUUAACUUUUAGGGCCUCGAAUAAUUGUUUUCUGGCAUAACUACCAAAAUCACAGGAAAAGAAUAUAUGCUCUAGAGUGUCGGGUUCCUGUUUUCUGCAUUUGCAGAGACGCUCUGAUUCUGGGAUAGCUAAGUAUCUUCCUCUCACUACCACCGAGGAAACAUGUUGAAUCUGGCCAACAUAAACAGCCUACACGAUUCAUGUUUCUUCAGAUUUGUCAUGUAUCCCUUUGGAAAUCUCUACACAAAGGGAGAUUUAAGUGGAUAGGAGAGCAAGUGCUGUGCUUUGCAGCCUCAAGCAUGGCGAGAACACUUUUUUCUGUAAGAGUCUUCCUGAUAAUUUCCCAUAUGUCUUUGGGAUCAGAGGUUUCAAAAUCAAUUAGAGUGAGCCCUAUCGAAUCCAGUUUUCUCCUACAAAUCAAUGAUAGAUUGUAGAUUGCACUAUCACUUAAAAGAUCGUAAAGUAGAGAAUUAGGGGAUAGGGCUCUAUAAUGGAGGAAGAUCCAAUAUUUCAAGGUCCUCAACCAUGCUCUUACUGAUAAAGGCAAUAUUCCCAGCUCACAACAUAUUGUUUCAUAUUUUACAGAGUUUGCAAGUCCUAAUAAUGACCUCAGAAGGGAGACAGUCACCUUUCUUGAGACCCUCAUUCACCAUGACAGCAAAGAAUUUGCCACUCUGGAAGUGGGACAUGGAUAUCAUGUCCCUGAAGGCCAUGUCAACAAACUUCUCUUUUUCAGGUCAGCUAUUUCGACCUCAAGGGAACAAACUUGUUCCCUGAGAGCAUAUUCCUGGAAUACCUGCCAAGCUUGCAGACAAGUAUAUGUGUGAUAUAAUAAACUAGAUAUUCUGACUUUCCACCUUCACAACUGUUUAUGAUUUUUGAGCAUGUUUACUUUGAAAGUUAGGGGAGAAGUUUGAUGGCCCUGACCUCCUUACUAAAUGUUUCUUCAGCUGGUGAUACAGACAUCCUUGUGGAGCUCCAAGGCCAGCACUUCCAUGAGGUGAGCUGAAGCAAUUUGCCUCAGGCAGUAAAUUUGACUCCCACCCUACCAUUGCGCCACUUCUGGCUGCAUUGUCCCACAGCUUUGCCUGCAUCACCGCCACCACAGAACCCUUACCCUCACUGCUAACAUUGCACCCUCACUGCUGCAUCAUUGAGGAAGUGCAGGUGCAGCUGUGGGAGAGGGUGCAGUUGAGGUAGCAGGCCAGGUGGUAGUGCAGGUGAAAUGGUGGGGACAGAGAGGGGGUCACCACCACAAGUCUGUUUUACUUUUGUACCCCUAAUUAGCUUACCCCCAACUUCUGCUUUUCCUUGUACAGGUGCUUAAUGUUUUUAUCUUGACACUUUGGACUCAGUUACAUUAGAAAAAAAGCAAAGCAGUUUAAAUGCGUUAUAACACUGUGACACCAGAUGGCACUAUAGCAUUCAGUCUUUCAGCAACAUGAUUUCCCAUUGUAAAGAGGUUUACAACGCGUUUUCCUGAAAUGUUUUUUUGAUGUGUCUAGGUCCAGCCUUUGACACUGGGGUUGAAAUGAUUUGUCAGAUGGGGCUCCCUGCAUAUUCACUGAAUAUUUGCUGAUCAUUCUCAUUGUAGCUUGUUUUGCUGGCACCCAUGUUGUUGUUGUUUAGUCGUGUCCGACUCUUCGUGAUCCCAUGGAGCAGAGCAUGCCAGGCACUCCUGUCUUCCACUGCCUCCCGCAGUUUGGUCAAACUCAUGCUGGUAGCUUCGAGAACACUAUCCAACCAUUUCGUCCUCUGUCAUCCCCUUCUCCUUGUGCGCUCCAUCUUUCUCAACAUCAGGGUCUUUUCCAGGGAGUCUUCUCUUCUCAUGAGCUGGCCAAAGUAUUGAAGUCUCAGCUUCAGGAUCUGUCCUUCCAGUGAGCACUCAGGGCUGAUUUCCUUAAGAAUGGAUAGGUUUGAUCUUCUUGCAGUCCAUGAGACUCUCAAGAGUCUCCUCCAGCACCAUAAUUCAAAAGCAUCAAUUCU
rnacentral:lncRNA from 1 species